UACGAAGGGGGCUAGCGUUGCUCGGAAUCACUGGGCGUAAAGCGCACGUAGGCGGCUUUCUAAGUCAGGGGUGAAAUCCUGGAGCUCAACUCCAGAACUGCCUUUGAUACUGGAGAGCUUGAGUCCGGAAGAGGUGAGUGGAACUCCGAGUGUAGAGGUGAAAUUCGUAGAUAUUCGGAAGAACACCAGUGGCGAAGGCGGCUCACUGGUCCGGUACUGACGCUGAGGCGCGAAAGCGUGGGGAGCAAACGGG
rnacentral:rRNA from 1 species